GACGAACGCUGGCGGCGUGCUUAACACAUGCAAGUCGAACGGACAGGCGCUGCUUGCAGGCUAUUCUAGUGGCGCACGGGUGAGUAACACGUGGGAGAUCUCCCCUUCAUAUCGAGUUACGCCUGGGAAACUGGGUUAAUUCCGUAUUAGCAGCCCUUUGGAGUGUUUUUGUUCGAAAGUCUUAUCGGUGUCGUAUGAGCUCACGGCCUGUCGGCUUGUUGGUGGGGGAAUGGCCUACCAAGGCGGCGACGGGUAGCAGGCCCGGGAGGGUGGACGGGCACAGUGGGACUGAGAGACGGCCCAGACCCCGACGGGUGGGAGCAGGGGGGAAGAUUGCAAAAGGGGCGCGAGGCCGAUGCAGAGACGGCCCGGGGGGGAGGACGGCCUUCGGGUUGGAAACGCAUUGCGCUAGGGACGGAGCCUUUUGUGACGGUACCUAGAUAAGAAGCACCGGCUAACUACGUG
rnacentral:rRNA from 1 species